rnacentral:rRNA from 1 species
AUUGAACGCUGGCGGCAGGCCUAACACAUGCAAGUCGAACGAGUGGCGGACGGGGGUGUAAUGUCUGGGAAACUGCCCGAUGUAGGGGGAUAACUCCUGGAAACGGUAGCUAAUACCCCAUACCCUCGUAUGUGCCCACAUGGGGUUAGCUUAGGUGAGUUAACGGCUCACCCAGGCGACGAUCCCUAGCUGGUCUGAGAGGAUGACCAGCCACACUGGAACUGAGACACGGUCCAGACUCCUACGGGAGGCAGAAGUGGGGAAUAUUGCACAAUGGGCGCAAGACUGAUACAGCCAUGCCGCGUGUAUGAAGAAGGCCUUCGGGUUGUAAAGUACUUUCAGCGGGGAGGCGUUACCCGCAGAAGAAGCACCGGCUAACUCCGUGCCAGCAGCCGCGGUAAUAC